ACACAUGCAGUCGAACGAUGAUCCCAGCUUGCUGGGGGAUUAGUGGCGAACGGGUGAGUAACACGUGAGUAACCUGCCCUUAACUCUGGGAUAAGCCUGGGAAACUGGGUCUAAUACCGGAUAUGACUCCUCAUCGCAUGGUGGGGGGUGGAAAGCUUUAUUGUGGUUUUGGAUGGACUCGCGGCCUAUCAGCUUGUUGGUGAGGUAAUGGCUCACCAAGGCGACGACGGGUAGCCGGCCUGAGAGGGUGACCGGCCACACUGGGACUGAGACACGGCCCAGACUCCUACGGGAGGCAGCAGUGGGGAAUAUUGCACAAUGGGCGAAAGCCUGAUGCAGCGACGCCGCGUGAGGGAUGACGGCCUUCGGGUUGUAAACCUCUUUCAGUAGGGAAGAAGCGAAAGUGACGGUACCUGCAGAAGAAGCGCCGGCUAACUACGUGCCAGCAGCCGCGGUAAUACGUAGGGCGCAAGCGUUAUCCGGAAUUAUUGGGCGUAAAGAGCUCGUAGGCGGUUUGUCGCGUCUGCCGUGAAAGUCCGGGGCUCAACUCCGGAUCUGCGGUGGGUACGGGCAGACUAGAGUGAUGUAGGGGAGACUGGAAUUCCUGGUGUAGCGGUGAAAUGCGCAGAUAUCAGGAGGAACACCGAUGGCGAAGGCAGGUCUCUGGGCAUUAACUGACGCUGAGGAGCGAAAGCAUGGGGAGCGAACAGGAUUAGAUACCCUGGUAGUCCAUGCCGUAAACGUUGGGCACUAGGUGUGGGGGACAUUCCACGUUUUCCGCGCCGUAGCU
rnacentral:rRNA from 1 species